UACUUAUCCAGACCUGGAAAUUACUAAAAUCAAAUUCCAUACUUUUCCAUACUGCGUAGGAAGUUGUACUGAAACAUUAAAUUUCACCCGAAAGCCAGAUAUCCCUAACUUUUUGUGAGUAGUGUAUCUAACGCCAAACCAUGAGCAUCAAAUGCUUCAACCCUGAAAGCUGGUGUGGUCUGGUGUGCUGAGCCUGUGAUUAGGCCUAACUCUAGGGCCCCAUACUCUUAAGCUGGUGUGGUGUGCUGGGCCUAUGGUUAGGCCUAGUUCUAGGGCCCCAUACUCUUAAACUGGUGUGGUGAGCCUAUCAUUAGGCCUAGUUCUAGGGUCCCGUACUCUUAAGGGUCAUCAGAUGGUGAGGAAUAAAUGAGUAUUUGUAUUCAGGACCAGCUCCCCCCUCCUUGUGCAGGUAUAGCGUCCAGUGUCGGUACCGUCCAUCCGUCGGUCAGAUGUAAGGCUCAGCGUUAGAUGCGUUAGAUCCGUCCUUACGUAGGCUUCACUCGAACCUGUGAUACAGGUGGAAUUCAGUCUUGGACUCACUUGAGUUUAGUCUGUCUGAACACUCACAGAAAUGACUCUCUGGGGGUCAAUGACUCUGAGAACAGACGGCUCUCUUGGGGGUCAAUGACUCUGAGAACAGACGGCUCUUGCUUGCCUCAGCAGGGUUGUUUUUAAUGGGAUUUGUCUGUUUUCUUCUUCUGCCUCAUGAGAACAGCGCUGUCUCUACGCUGUCAGUGGUGUUGUUUUGCACAGGGAUGCUACUGCUCCGCACCACGCCGUCUCCUGUCCUCGCCUGCUGAAAAUAGAUGCGCCGCUUCUCCCAGGUUCCGCCACCCCCAUCUGAAGGACAUCAGUGGGAAGGCAGAGCGCUCUUUGUUUGUGUCGCUACACGCUACCACAGCCACGUAAAGCACGGGGACAUGAGGGGCCAAGCAGUUCUGUUUCAGCUGUUUAUAUUUGUGCUGGUGAACCAGCUGUUUCUGCUUAUGCCAACAUUGUACCUGUUCAAACAAUGUGUGUGUGUGUGAGUGUGUUUUGUUUUAAAUUCAGUUCUUGAGUUGUGAUGACUUGUACAUACUGGUAAUUGGUUGUGGUUAAUAAACUGCAAUGCUUUA